rnacentral:rRNA from 1 species
UACGUAGGGGGCUAGCGUUGUCCGGAAUCAUUGGGCGUAAAGCGCGUGUAGGCGGUCCGGUAAGUCCGCUGUGAAAGUCGGGGGCUCAACCCUCGAAAGCCGGUGGAUACUGUCGGGCUCGAGUACGGAAGAGGCGAGUGGAAUUCCUGGUGUAGCGGUGAAAUGCGUAGAGAUCGGCAGGAACACCCAGGGGGAAACCAGUCGACUGGGCAUCUACUGACGCUGAGGUGCGAGAGCGUGGGGAGCGAACCGG